GAUGAACGCUGGCGGCGUGCCUAAUACAUGCAAGUCGAGCGAACGGACGAGAAGCUUGCUUCUCUGAUGUUAGCGGCGGAGGGGUGAGUAACACGUGGAUAACCUACCUAUAAGACUGGGAUAACUUCGGGAAACCGGAGCUAAUACCGGAUAAUAUUUUGAACCGCAUGGUUCAAAAGUGAAAGACGGUCUUGCUGUCACUUAUAGAUGGAUCCGCGCUGCAUUAGCUAGUUGGUAAGGUAACGGCUUACCAAGGCAACGAUGCAUAGCCGACCUGAGAGGGUGAUCGGCCACACUGGAACUGAGACACGGUCCAGACUCCUACGGGAGGCAGCAGUAGGGAAUCUUCCGCAAUGGGCGAAAGCCUGACGGAGCAACGCCGCGUGAGUGAUGAAGGUCUUCGGAUCGUAAAACUCUGUUAUUAGGGAAGAACAUAUGUGUAAGUAACUGUGCACAUCUUGACGGUACCUAAUCAGAAAGCCCCGGCUAACUACGUG
rnacentral:rRNA from 1 species